AUAGUGCAGUGUGUCUCUCUUUCUCAUCCAUUCCUGUUUGUGUUUUCCCACACUGUGUGUUUUAGAGAGGUAACAGAGUGUUAUAGAGAGGUAACAGAGUGUUAUAGAGAGGUAACAGAGUGUUAUAGAGAGGUAACAGAGUGUUAUAGAGAGGUAACAGAGUGUUAUAGAGAGGUAACAGAGAGUUAUAGAGAGGUAACAGAGUGUUAUAGAGAGGUAACAGAGUGUUAUAGAGAGGUAACAGAGUGUUAUAGAGAGGUAACAGAGUGUUAUAGAGAGGUAACAGAGUGUUAUAGAGAGGUAACAGAGUGUUAUAGAGAGGUAACAGAGUGUUAUAGAGCGGUAACAGAGUGUUACUAUAGAGAGGUAACAGAGUGUUAUAGAGAGGUAACAGAGUGUUAUAGAGAGGUAACAGAGUGUUAUAGAGAGGUAACAGAGUGUUAUAGAGCGGUAACAGAGUGUUACUAUAGAGAGGUAACAGAGUGUUACUAUAGAGAGGUAACAGAGUGUUAUAGAGAGGUAACAGAGUGUUAUAGAGAGGUAACAGAGUGUUAUAGAGAGGUAACAGAGUGUUAUAGAGAGGUAACAGAGUGUUAUAGAGCGGUAACAGAGUGUUACUAUAGAGAGGUAACAGAGUGUUAUAGAGCGGUAACAGAGUGUUAUAGAGAGGUAACAGUGUGUUAUAGAGAGGUAACAGAGUGUUAUAGAGCGGUAACAGAGUGUUAUAGAGAGGUAACAGUGUGUUAUAGAGAGGUAACAGAGUAUUAUUAUAGAUAGGUAAUAGAGUGUUGUAGGGAGGUAACAGAGUGUUAUAGAGAGGUAACAGAGUGUUAUAGAGGGGUAACAGAGUGUUAUAGAGAGGUAACAGAGUGUUAUAGAGAGGUAACAGAGUUUUAUAGAGCGGUAACAGAGUGUUACUAUAGAGAGGUAACAGAGUGUUAUAGAGAGGUAACAGAGUGUUAUAGAGAGGUAACAGAGUGUUAUAGAGAGGUAACAGAGUGUUAUAGAGAGGUAACAGAGUGUUAUAGAGCGGUAACAGAGUGUUACUAUAGAGAGGUAACAGAGUGUUAUAGAGAGG
rnacentral:lncRNA from 1 species